rnacentral:rRNA from 1 species
GUGUCAGCAGCCGCGGUAAGACGUAGGGGGCCAGCGUUGCUCGGAAUUACUGGGCGUAAAGGGUUCGUAGGCGGUGUGGCAAGUCGGAAGUGAAAUCUCCAGGCUCAACUUGGAGGCUGCUCCCGAAACUGCCGCGCUAGAGUGCGAGAGAGGCCAGUGGAAUUGCAGGUGUAGCGGUGAAAUGCGUAGAUAUCUGCAGGAACACCCGUGGCGAAGGCGGCUGGCUGGAUCGCAACUGACGCUGAGGAACGAAAGCUAGGGGAGCAAACAGGAUUAGAUACCCUGGUAGUCC